rnacentral:rRNA from 1 species
CGCAAGCCUGACGGAGCAAGACCGCGUGGGGGAGGAAUGCCUUAGGGUUGUAAACCCCUUUUAUCUGGGAAGAACAAAAUGACGGUACCAGAUGAAUAAGCCUCGGCUAACUCCGUGCCAGCAGCCGCGGUAAUACGGAGGAGGCAAGCGUUAUCCGGAAUUAUUGGGCGUAAAGCGUCCGCAGGUGGCGAUUCAAGUCUGCUGUCAAAGCACGGGGCUUAACUCCGUAAAGGCAGUGGAAACUGAAUAGCUAGAGUGCCGUAGGGGUAGAGGGAAUUCCCGGUGUAGCGGUGAAAUGCGUAGAGAUCGGGAAGAACAUCGGUGGCGAAAGCGCCCUACUGGGCCAUAACUGACACUGAGGGACGAAAGCUAGGGGAGCG